rnacentral:rRNA from 1 species
GCAUAUCAAUAAGCGGAGGAAAAGAAACCAACAGGGAUUACCUCAGUAACGGCGAAGUGAAGCGGUAACAGCUCAAAUUUGAAAGCUAGCUCUUUUAGGGUUCGCAUUGUAAUUUGUAGAAGAUGCUUCGGGUGUGGCCCCGGUCUAAGUUCCUUGGAACAGGACGUCAUAGAGGGUGAGAAUCCCGUAUGUGACUGGGUGCUUUCGCUCAUGUGAAGCUCUUUCGACGAGUCGAGUUGUUUGGGAAUGCAGCUCAAAAUGGGUGGUAAAUUUCAUCUAAAGCUAAAUAUUGGCCAGAGACCGAUAGCGCACAAGUAGAGUGAUCGAAAGAUGAAAAGCACUUUGGAAAGAGAGUUAAACAGUACGUGAAAUUGUUGAAAGGGAAGCGCUUGCAACCAGACUUGCGCGCUGAUGAUCAUCCGGGCUUCUGCCCGGUGCACUCGUCUGCGCUCAGGCCAGCAUCGGUUUCGGUGGUGGGAUAAAGGCCUUGGGAAUGUAGCUCCUCUCGGGGAGUGUUAUAGCCCUCGGUGCAAUGCCGCCUACCGGGACCGAGGACCGCGCUUCGGCUAGGAUGCUGGCGUAAUGGUUGUAAGCGACCCGUCUUGAAACACGGACCAAGGAGUCUAACAUCUAUGCGAGUGUUUGGGUGUCAAACCCAUACGCGUAAUGAAAGUGAACGGAGGUGAGAACCCUUAAGGGUGCAUCAUCGACCGAUCCUGAUGUCUUCGGAUGGAUUUGAGUAAGAGCAUAGCUGUUGGGACCCGAAAGAUGGUGAACUAUGCGUGAAUAGGGUGAAGCCAGAGGAAACUCUGGUGGAGGCUCGCAGCGGUUCUGACGUGCAAAUCGAUCGUCAAAUUUGCGUAUAGGGGGCGAAAGACUAAUCGAACCAUCUAGUAGCUGGGUUCCUGCCGA